CACAAUUUCAAACAACACAGAAAAUUCUACCAAAUCUCCACACGCAUUGCACAAUUUCCCAUCCAAAACGCAAAAUAGGCACACGCAGAAUUGAAUUUAGCGAUCUCGUUGUGUUGUUGUCGUUCUUCUUCUUCCUCAUUGAAAUCAAAUACGUGUAGAUCCGUGCGCGGAGACUUGUUCAUCGUCUCCGAGAGAGGUUUUGGCGAUUUCGAACUCGGAGCGAGCUGAGAAAGGUGACUCAGUGAGUCAGGGGCGCGAAAUCGAUGCGAAGUGGUAAUGGACGAAGCUGAGACUUUGGGAGAUUUUACUACCCUUGGGGUUGAGGACCCGAGAAAAAGCCUUUAUAUACCGUGGAGCUGGCUAAUUAGAUCAUGCCACGCGUCCCUAAACCUCUGUUCUGUUGGAAACUCAUGAGUCGUAUCUUUCUUGCGAGCUAAACAAGUUGUGGUAAGUCAUAA
rnacentral:lncRNA from 1 species